rnacentral:rRNA from 1 species
AGUGAACGCUGGCGGUAGGCCUAACACAUGCAAGUCGAACGGCAGCACAGGAGAGCUUGCUCUCUGGGUGGCGAGUGGCGGACGGGUGAGGAAUACAUCGGAAUCUACCUUUUCGUGGGGGAUAACGUAGGGAAACUUACGCUAAUACCGCAUAAGACCUUCGGGUGAAAGCCGGGGACCUUCGGGCCUGGCGCGGAUAGAUGAGCCGAUGUCGGAUUAGCUAGUUGGCGGGGUAAAGGCCCACCAAGGCGACGAUCCGUAGCUGGUCUGAGAGGAUGAUCAGCCACACUGGAACUGAGACACGGUCCAGACGCCUACGGGAGGCAGCAGUGGGGAAUAUUGGACAAUGGGCGCAAGCCUGAUCCAGCCAUACCGCGUGGGUGAAGAAGGCCUUCGGGUUGUAAAGCCCUUUUGUUGGGAAAGAAAACUUGCAGGCUAAUACCCAGCAAGUCUGACGGUACCCAAAGAAUAAGCACCGGCUAACUUCGUGCCAGCCGCCGCGGUAACAC